GGGACCUAACCCGACGAAGGGGGCAGCCGCCUAAAGUGUUGAUCGGUAAUUGGGGUG
rnacentral:rRNA from 1 species